ensembl:lncRNA
CUGGUGUGAAAAGGGAUUGAGAAUCAAGGAUAAGAUACAUAAAAUAGGACAGUAGAAGCACGGGAAUCCUUUCGGAUAACUUUGACUGAUUCUCAAAAUUUUGUUCUUUUUUCAUCUGGAAGAUUUCCAGCUAUACUAAGAGUGGCAAAUGAAAGGAGAACAACCACUUAAUGCUAUUGAUCAACCCAUGCCUUGUUAGAAGAUCACAAUGGGUUUAGGAAUGUUCUUCUAAAUUAUAAACAAUUGCAAUGAUACUCCAAGGGAAAAGAAGACAUUUGUUCAGUGAGUAGAACUGCAAGAAGAGGUACUUUCUGUUCUGGAGCAUAUCCCCAAUAUUGCCCCUGGGUCUGACCUUUGGAGCAAUCACAGUGAUGUUAAAUACCCUGUAGAUGUAAGGAAAGACUGGACUGCUUUCCAAAGAGUAUGCAAAUGAGAAGAUGAGAACAAGUGGAUACACAAACUGAAGAGACCACGUAUUUUGUAGGCAAACAAUUACAAGUCCAGCCUAUACAUCCUGUAAAUCUCAUUAAUUGUGAAGAUCUGUGGUUUGGAUAUGUAGGAAAGAUAGAGAGCAUGAUCUGACUUUAUUCCUAGUGAAUCUGAUGUAAAAUAUAAAUUUAGCAGACUAACUACUACAAGAGCAAAAUCAGAAGGGCCUCACCACACAAUGAAGUACAACUGUAAAGAAAAGUAAGAAAUGACAGCAUCUCACAUUCAAAAACAUUUCUCUUUAGAACUGUUUGCUUUCAAAUGGAAGGGCCCAGUAGUAUUUUCCAGCUGGGGACUUGGCCUGCCAUCACAUUUUUCCAUUGGGAUUUGGAGAUGACUCUACUGUAUCCUGUGAAGGCGGGAUGAAAACUGGCGUCUCCCUACUUCCUCUUAUGUCUGCUGAUGUACAUUUUCAAGACCUGGAAGACAGGAAUGAAAAAGUUCCUGCUGAGAUCCCCAAGCCAAAAGCUGUCAUACCAAAGAGCAGACUCGACCACUCUAUACUAUAAUUAAGAUAACGUACAUUCGUCAUCAACUGAACUCCACAACCUCAGAUCAGCACCACCAAGACACCACUGGAUCAAGGAGUGGUGAACCACUUCACUCUGCUGUGUUUGCAUAUUUCUCUGUCUGUCUGUCUGUUCGUCUGUCUCUCUUGCCCUGUUUCCUAUCUUUUCUCUUUAUCUGCUUUACUCUUUCA